rnacentral:rRNA from 1 species
AUUGAACGCUGGCGGCAGGCCUAAUACAUGCAAGUCGAACGGUAACAUAAAAGAGCUUGCUUCUUUGAUGACGAGUGGCGGACGGGUGAGUAAUAUUUGGGAAACUACCUGAUAGAGGGGGACAACAGUUGGAAACGACUGCUAAUACCGCAUAAGCCCACAGAGCCGCAGUGGCUCAGGGGGGAAAAAGGAGCAAUUCGCUUCAGGAUGGAUUCGCGUCCAAUUAGCUGGAUGGUGAGGUAACGGCCCACCAUGGCGACGAUUGGUAGCCGGACUGAGAGGUUUGAACGGCCACAUUGGGGACUGAGAUACGGCCCAGACUCCUACGGGGAGGCAGCAGUGGGGGAAUAUUGGGCAAUGGGGGGAAACCCUGACCCAGCAACGCCGCGUGAAGGAAGAAGGCUUUCGGGUUGUAAACUUCUUUUACCAGGGACGAAGGACGUGACGGUACCUGGAGAAAAAGCCACGGCUAACUACGUG